UAUGCGGGCCGGAUGGUCCAUGUCCUUGUCACUUCAAAAACCUUCCCGUUUGACGAUGGAAGUCUUCUUUUUAUUCACACUUUUGUUCUGCUUACGGCGUUCUUUGAGUCAGAAGGUGACUCAGGACCCCGCUACUAUAAAUUUGCAUGAGUGUCAGUCUGCCACCAUCACCUGCCGUUUAGAGCGUGGUAAUGCUGGUACAUACCGCUUUCGUACUGGAAAAUUCUUCAGACAGACCGAAUCAACGGCCGAACGGAAAGUGAUCAGAGCCGGGGGGAGAUUUGCUACUUCGAUUAAGAAAACCGACAUGCAGUUUUCGUUGAAUAUACGGGAUCUUCGAGUGGAAGACAUCGGCACCUAUUACUGUCAAGCUGAAUACCAAUGGCUUGAAGCACAAUGAUAGACCUCGGCUUCCCGCUGCACAAAAACUUCCGUUGUAGUUUGUUCCUGAAUCAGAUGGAACUAAAUGGAUAUGCGGGUAAAGUUAACAUCCAUCUUGCCGAUCGGUCCCAGAGUCCAGCUAACA